UAACCCUCUCUGGUGUGCCCUACCGCCGUCCGUUGCCGUGUCCCUGUCCGCCCUGGCGGUGACCGCCGCCCGCUGUCAGGUACCUUCUCUGAGCGCACCUGGCCUGUGGCCGUGCCGGGCUAACCCUGCGGCUCGGCCUGGCCCAGCCCUGCGCUAGGGAGAAUUUCUGAGGUGAGGCCGGGGGGUUCCACGGAGCUUUCCUUCAGGUGCUGCCGUCGCACGAGUUGGAAAUUCGAGGCAAAACUCGGGGUGUGGCUUCAAACCUCCGCCAUGCAAACACACCUAAGCGAGGUGGGACUCCAAAGCUCCUUCAAGUAGGGGUACUGGUUUGCUCUGCCUGAUGGGCUAAGAAAGUUCAGCAUGAAUUAGCCAAGAUACUGCUUAGGAGUAGAAUAGCAGAUUUUGGUAUGAAGUAGCCUGCUGCAUGCAGUAUUUGCCUGCAUUUGAAGAAAGGCUUUUGACUCCUAAAAAG